rnacentral:lncRNA from 1 species
AUUUUGCAUAUGAGAAACACUAAGACUCAGCAGAUAAGGAUGGAGGCGACUCAACAUCACACUGAGACAGAUAUGAGCCCUGCAUUUCUGAAUGCCUUGAAAGAAAAACCAGCAAGUUGGGAGGGCCGUGUCUCCUUAUCAUCUUCCAGGAAUUCAAAACCGUGAUUUCCAGUUUCCAAAUGCAACUCAAGCUCCAUCACCCUGUACAUCUUGCACGGUUUCUCCAGCAUAUCCUGAUCGCCACCUCCAGACCCUUCUGAUAGAUUCAUUACCUGAAUCUAUUUGAUCCUGAACUCCUGCUCUCCCUUGGCUCAACCUCAUCACAGCCAGAAAGGAUGAGAGCUCUUUAAUGAAGUGCAUACAUGUCAGUUUCCCAGGACACAAACCAAAGUAAAGAAGAAUGGAGCAUGCUCCUAUAAAGGAAAAUAAAAGGAGAUCCAUAAAGCAAAUCCAACUCAUGGACACUUACUAAACAUGCACUGUGUUCAUGUAAUGGCUCCAAGAAUCUUAGUGGACAUGGACGGAAGUACACACCUGGAGUGGACCUACAGAAGCUCAGAGUCAAAUGGCAGAAAGAUGAUAUGGGCAUUGAAUACAUUAAAUGAAAAUAAAAGUAAUAAAUCACAAGAGAAGAGAGUAACUGAGGGUGUCACUGGGCAGUACAUUAGCAAUUAAUUACCAGACACCUAUGCAGUUAAAAUGUACUGCUGGCCUUCAAAGGUGAAGGAAUCCAUGGCCUGGAAUGACCAUAAAAAA